rnacentral:rRNA from 1 species
UACGUAGGGUGCAAGCGUUGUCCGGAAUUAUUGGGCGUAAAGAGCUCGUAGGCGGUCUGUUGCGUCGGCUGUGAAAACCCGGGGCUCAACCCCGGGCCUGCAGCCGAUACGGGCAGACUAGAGUUCGGCAGGGGAGACUGGAAUUCCUGGUGUAGCGGUGAAAUGCGCAGAUAUCAGGAGGAACACCGGUGGCGAAGGCGGCUCACUGGCUCGGUACUGACGCUGAGACGCGAAAGCGUGGGGAGCGAACAGG